CCUGCACUUUUUCACGUUUGAUUUUUAAGUUCUUUAAUAAUUCUAUCAUUUUUAUUUCUAAGACAGAAACAGCCAAAGUGCUGCUCCAAGUUUCCAGUGCAUCCUUUAUAUUUAGGGAUAAUUAAAAACUUUGAUAGUUGCUGUUUUGAUGAUUAGUGGAAUGAUAGGAUUUAUAAAGCUCUGGAGCAAAAGUGAAAGUAUCCUAUAGCAUAUAAAAAGUAUUUCCUUAUUCGGAUAAACCGCAUGUGAAGCUGUGAAGCCGAAAAUGGGUAAUAUGCAAUCUCAGGACCACACAGAUAACCAGACUAUGAAGUAUUUUACUGUUGCACUUGGAUGCACAUUAAGACAUCUUCUGGGUAUAGAACAUAAAUUCCAGGAAAUAAUUCCAGCUCUGCAGAAUGUGCAGAAUCCAGAGGAUUGUGAUUUCAUUAUGGCUUUCUGCCCUGUUGUGGCUAUUAAAGCAGCAGAAAAGACACUUGAUACCCUACCAGGUAACAAACCUGUAGUUCUGGUGGUGCUUCAUCAUCCAGAACAUAUUGUACCAGACAGCAGCAGAUCUGUAAAUAGACAGAAUACGAUCACAGUCGACUAUGUGAUCCAUGAAGAUCAGGGAUUACUGACGUGUCCUGAAAAUGACAAAGCAUUGUCCAAAGUUAUAGAAUUUAUUGAGGACAUUCAGGGAGGGACACCGAGUAAAAGUCCAUAUCAUCAGCCUUCUGGUAACCAGAUGUUGAAGCGUCCUCGUCUAGCAUACUUCACUCUAAUGUCUGGAAACACAUUAGGACAUCAUGUGGACAUAGAGAGGAAACUUUAGGAACAAAUACCAGGUCUGCAUAAGGUGAUGAAAUUGGAAGAGUCUGAUUUAG